AGUGAACGCUGGCGGUAGGCCUAACACAUGCAAGUCGAACGGCAGCACAGUAAGAGCUUGCUCUUACGGGUGGCGAGUGGCGGACGGGUGAGGAAUACAUCGGAAUCUACUUUUUCGUGGGGGAUCACGUAGGUAAACUUACGCUAAUACCGCAUACGACCUACGGGUGAAAGCAGGGGAUCUUCGCACCUUGCGCGAUUGAAUGAGCCGAUUUCGGAUUAGCUAGUUGGCGGGGUAAAGGCCCACCAAGGCGACGAUCCGUAGCUGGUGUGAGAGGAUGAUCAGCCACACUGGAACUGAGACACGGUCCAGACUCCUAAGGGAGGCAGCAGUGGGGAAUAUUGGACAAUGGGCGCAAGCCUGAUCCAGCCAUACCGCGUGGGUGAAGAAGGCCUUCGGGUUGUAAAGCCCUCUUGUUGGGAAAGAAAAGCAGCAGGUUAAUACCACGCUGUUCUGACGGUACCCAAAGAAUAAGCACCGGCUAACUUCGUG
rnacentral:rRNA from 1 species